GUAGUUGUACCAUAGGGGUAGUGGGGCUGUUUUAGGUGCAGUUUACAUUGGUUCAAUUCCAGUCAUCUACU
rnacentral:tRNA from 1 species